rnacentral:rRNA from 1 species
UACAGAGGGGGCAAGCGUUGUUCGGAAUUACUGGGCGUAAAGGGCGCGUAGGCGGCCUGUUAAGUCGAACGUGAAAUCCCCCGGGCUCAACCCGGGAACUGCGUCCGAUACUGGCAGGCUUGAAUCCGGGAGAGGGAUGCGGAAUUCCAGGUGUAGCGGUGAAAUGCGUAGAUAUCUGGAGGAACACCGGUGGCGAAGGCAGCUCGCUGGGACGGUACUGACGCUGAGGCACGAAAGCUAGGGGAGCAAACAGG